AGCUCCCUGAGGGCCUGGCUCUAAGUCUGAGGAAACACACUCUCUCUCGAACUUGAACUUGCCAGACAGAACUCAGGCACUGACUGUGACGACGCGGGUGGGGAGAGACUGUGCACCUACACGUGUCACUUCACAAAGGCCUCCAGGGCUUAUGAUCAGGCAAAGGAGACACCAGGAAAGAGGAGCAGAGUGGCUAGGGCAGUGCACUGCAGAUGCAUGGACGAAAGCUCGCAGCGACACAAGCAUGGGGUGUCUAAUCAGGGAUGAGUGUGAGCAGCAGAAUGAGGAGCAUGCUUUCCCAGAGGAAGAGAGGAAGCCACUGGAGAGACGAAGGAUGCCAUGGACAGAGAUGAGUCCUGGUCCAGCCUGUAAUAAGAUGGAAAUGAAGAGAGCUGCCGAAUAAUGAAAAAUCACUCAAAAGGGGCAGAUUCUGAUGACGGCACAGGGGCCACCAAAGACUGGAGAUAUGAAGAGUGGCUGUGAGCGUCAGGGAAAGGGGGGUGUGCCUGAGAGCCCCGUUCAUCUCCUUGCUCGCCAGGGCUCCACUAUCUGACUGCUGGGUUUGAAUCCCAGCUUUGCCCCUUUACUGGCUAUGUGACUGUAAACAAGCCACCUAAGUCCUCAGUCUAGUCCUCCAUGAAAAUGGGGAUUAAAAUGGUACUUUUCUCAGGGGUGGCGGAGUGUUGUGCAAAUUGAUGAUUUAAUACAUGUAGUGCCCUUUGAGGUAGAGCAUGGUGCUUAAUACAUGUUCCACAGCAUUGAGGUGGUGUCUCUGGAGCUGCCGAGCAGCAGCCUCAUUGCUCAGAAGAUGAAGAUGCUGACAAAGACCCAGACAGGAAAA
rnacentral:lncRNA from 1 species